rnacentral:rRNA from 1 species
GACGAACCGUGCAAACGUUGUUCGGAAUCACUGGGCUUAAAGGGCGCGUAGGCGGGGUGGUAAGUCUGUGGUGAAAUCCUCCGGCUCAACCGGAGAAUGGCCGUGGAUACUGCCGCCCUCGAGGGGUGUAGGGGCAUGCGGAACUUCGGGUGGAGCGGUGAAAUGCGUAGAGAUCCGAAGGAACGCCGGUGGCGAAAGCGGCGUGCUGGACACCUACUGACGCUGAGGCGCGAAGGCUGAGGGGAGCGAACGAGGA